CCUACGGGAGGCAGCAGUGAGGAAUAUUGGUCAAUGGCCGGAAGGCUGAACCAGCCAUGCCGCGUGAAGGUCAGUGCCCUAUGGGCGUUAAACUUCUUUUGUGCGGGAGCAAUAAUGGUCACGUGUGGCCAGACGAGAGUACCGUACGAAUAAGCAUCGGCUAACUCCGUGCCAGCAGCCGCGGUAAUACGGGGGAUGCAAGCGUUAUCCGGAUUUAUUGGGUUUAAAGGGUGCGUAGGCUGUGAGGUAAGUCAGCGGUGAAAUGCCCCCGCUCAACGGGGUGAAGUGCCAUUGAUACUGCCUGGCUGGAAUGCGGAUGCCGUGGGAAGAAUGUGUGGUGUAGCGGUGAAAUGCAUAGAUAUCACACAGAACACCGAUUGCGAAGGCAUCUCACGAAUCCGCGAUUGACGCUGAUGCACGAAAGCGUGGGUAUCAAACAGGAUUACAUACCCCUGUAGUC
rnacentral:rRNA from 1 species